rnacentral:rRNA from 1 species
GACGAACGCUGGCGGCGUGCCUAAUACAUGCAAGUUGAGCGCUGAAGGUUGGUACUUGUACCGACUGGAUGAGCAGCGAACGGGUGAGUAACGCGUGGGGAAUCUGCCUUUGAGCGGGGGACAACAUUUGGAAACGAAUGCUAAUACCGCAUAAAAACUUUAAACACAAGUUUUAAGUUUGAAAGAUGCAAUUGCAUCACUCAAAGAUGAUCCCGCGUUGUAUUAGCUAGUUGGUGAGGUAAAGGCUCACCAAGGCGAUGAUACAUAGCCGACCUGAGAGGGUGGUCGGCCACAUUGGGACUGGGACACGGCCCAAACUCCUACGGGAGGCAGCAGUAGGGGAUCUUCGGCAAUGGACGAAAGUCUGACCGAGCAACGCCGCGUGAGUGAAGAAGGUUUUCGGAUCGUAAAACUCUGUUGGUAGAGAAGAACGUUGGUGAGAGUGGAAAGCUCAUCAAGUGACGGUAACUACCCAGAAAGGGACGGCUAACUACGUG